UACGAAGGGGGCUAGCGUUGCUCGGAAUCACUGGGCGUAAAGCGCACGUAGGCGGAUUGUUAAGUCAGGGGUGAAAUCCUGGAGCUCAACUCCAGAACUGCCUUUGAUACUGGCGAUCUUGAGUCCGGGAGAGGUGAGUGGAACUGCGAGUGUAGAGGUGAAAUUCGUAGAUAUUCGCAAGAACACCAGUGGCGAAGGCGGCUCACUGGGGGUUAUCUGACGCUGAGGAACGAAAGCCAGGGGAGCGAACGGG
rnacentral:rRNA from 1 species